rnacentral:rRNA from 1 species
AACGCUGGCGGCAUGCCUAAGACAUGCAAGUCGAACGAAGCGGCCCAAUGAAGAAUGCGAGCUUGCUCAAAUUUGGAUUUGGAUUCCCGCUUAGUGGCGCAAGGGUGAGUAACACGUGGGUAAUCUACCUUCGAGUUUGGAAUAACAGUUAGAAAUGAUUGCUAAUGCCGAAUAAUAUGGAGAACGAUAUUUCAUUUUUUAUUAAAAGGGGCCUUUAAAGCCUCGCUUGAAGAUGAGCCUGCGCCGUAUUAGCUAGUUGGUGGGGUAAAGGCCUACCAAGGCAACGAUGCGUAGCCGACCUGAGAGGGUGAUCGGCCACACUGGGACUGAGACACGGCCCAGACUCCUACGGGAGACAGCAGUUAGGAAUAUUCGUCAAUGGGGGAAACCCUGAACGAGCAAUGCCGCGUGAAGGAAUGACGGUCCUAUGGAUUGUAAACUUCUGUUGUUAGGGAAGAAUGACCUGUAUAGGAAAUGAUACAGGAGUGACGGUACCUUUCAAGAAAGCUCCGGCUAACUACGUGCCAGCCGCGGC